rnacentral:rRNA from 1 species
CAAUAGCGUAUAUUAACGUUGUUGCAGUUAAAAAGCUCGUAGUUGGAUUUCUGGAGGGAGCGUCGGCCCGUAUUUACGAGUGCGUGACGUCUCUGUCCAUCCUUGCGGGAAGGCACGGCAUUGAUUUGUUGUGUCGGAUCGCAUCAUUUACUGUGAAAAAAUUAGAGUGUUCAAAGCAGGCUUUCGCUUGAAUACAUUAGCAUGGAAUAAUAAGAUAGGACUUUGGUGCUAUUUUGUUGGUUGAGCCUAAAGUAAUGAUCAAUAGGGAUAGUUGGGGGCACCUGUAUUGCGUUGUCAGAGGUGAAAUUCUUGGAUUUACGCAAGACAAACAGCUGCGAAAGCGUCUGCCAAGGAUGUUUUCAUUAA